rnacentral:rRNA from 1 species
UACGUAGGGUGCAAGCGUUGUCCGGAAUUAUUGGGCGUAAAGAGCUCGUAGGCGGUUCGUCGCGUCGGCUGUGAAAAACCCGGAGCUCAACUCCGGGCCUGCAGUCGAUACGGGCGGACUAGAGUUCGGCAGGGGAGACUGGAAUUCCUGGUGUAGCGGUGAAAUGCGCAGAUAUCAGGAGGAACACCGGUGGCGAAGGCGGGUCUCUGGGCCGAUACUGACGCUGAGGAGCGAAAAGCGUGGGGAGCGAACAGG